AACGAACGCUGGCGGCAGGCUUAACACAUGCAAGUCGAACGCCCCGCAAGGGGAGUGGCAGACGGGUGAGUAACGCGUGGGAAUCUACCCAGUUCUACGGAACAACUGAGGGAAACUUCAGCUAAUACCGUAUACGCCCUACGGGGGAAAGAUUUAUCGGAAUUGGAUGAGCCCGCGUUGGAUUGGCUAGUUGGUAAGGUAACGGCUCACCAAGGCGACGGUCCAUAGCUGGGCUGAGAGGAUGAUCAGCCACACUGGGCCUGAGACACGGCCCCGACUCCUACGGGAGGCAGCAGUGGGGAAUAUUGGACAAUGGGCGCAAGCCUGAUCCAGCCAUGCCGCGUGAGUGAUGAAGGCCUUAGGGUUGUAAAGCUCUUUCAGUGGGGACGAUAAUGACGGUACCCACAGAAGAAGCCCCGGCUAACUUCGUGCCAGCAGCCGCGGUAAAAC
rnacentral:rRNA from 1 species